GGCCCACCAUCACUUUGAAUGGAUGAAACAAAAAAGUCACUUUUUCACUCUCCCUUUUUUUCCGUGUAGGUAACCACAAAAAGAGCCAUCAAGGGUUUUGCAAGGUCAAUGAAUCUUUCGGCAUCUUGAUUGGGUAGUUAAAUUCCAUAAACAUCCUAUCAAAGAUAUGUAAAAGGAACUGCACGUUAAUUUCAAUAUAAACCAUAAAAGAGUGGUCAACACUCAACAACUCAUCUCAUCACCUAGAUUCCAUGCAAAAAACGUGGCAAAGUUUAGUUCAUUAAAAACUGUUUCAAGAAAGUGAUUACUAGACCAAACCAAGAAGCCGUCAUAGACACAGUUUGAUUUAACACGGAUUCUAAGUUGAAAGAAUGUCUUAGACACAGUUUCUUUGGAUGAAUGAGAAAACACACAGAAAAGCCAAAGGUUUAUUGUCUCAUUGCAGAGUCUCAACUCUCAAAUCACUAAACUAAAUGCAUUACACUAAACCAUUUCAUGGAGAAGGCUGAAGAUCACGAGCCGUCUUCACCAAAUCGAAGAUAUCAAUGAUUCAAACUCGUCCCGGAGAUCGAUAGGGACAGAGAAGACAGCUUCGUCCGAUUAUUUUGAUCGGAGUCUUCUCCAAACUGCCGUAGUCGCGGCGGCCAUGGCGAAAGGUUUGAAUUGGCCUGGAGCGGCUGAUAGCAAAUGGUCCUAUGGUCUAGUGGUCAGGACAUUGGACUCUGAAUCCAGUAACCCGAGUUCAAAUCUCGGUAGGACCUUCUUUUUUAUUAUUUUCUCCUUAAUUAGGAGGAGUCUACAAACCGGUUUUGAUUUAAAUAACCGAAUUUCAUAGUACGGUUCGGUCAAUACAUUUUGUGUGGUCAGUCACUCUUUAGUCUCUGAUUGAAAUGUGAUGGGUAACACAUUAGUAUCAGCCUGCUUCUUUACUGGCCUCUGUUUACAUAUUAAGGUUGAGCAGCCAGGUCAAGAGGAUGAGGAGGCUCUUGCCUUUUUGGAAGAAUGCAGAGCUUGAACUCAUAACAAUCUGGAUAUAUUCAAUCUUAACGGGCUCCAAAAUCUCCAGUCUAGCUUAAUCAUGCCUGUUGAGAGUAAAAAAAACAUAUGGUCUGGUCCUGAAACUGUAACUAACUUCAAAGAUCAUCCGAUUUCAAAGACGAGAGAAACAAAACUGAGCAGUGGAUUGAUAAGGAGCAUAAACCGUCUAGGAGUAAAAUGAGACUGGAGAAAAUGACAGCAUCUGGUCCUAUGGUCUAGUGGUUAGGACAUUGGACUCUGAAUCCAGUAACCCGAGUUCAAAUCUCGGUAGGACCUUAUUUUAUUGUUUUUCUUUAGUUAGGACUCAGUAAACCGGUUCUUACAGUAUUAUAAUUUAUAACCGAUCUGUUUAUUUUAAUCGAAAUGUCAUACUUCGGUUCAACUUGACUUCGGUUAUAUUAGACCAAAGGCUUCUUUGGGUGGACUAGGAGACAUGUAGCUUCAAGUUCCUAUAGACUGCAAGAACUUCAAGCAAAGCUUUGUUUCUUCUUAUAUAGAUAAAAGCCUAAAACAUGUAUACAUACAUUUGGUUCAUGGAUUCCGAGAGAGAAUCAAUAUGGCAAUAUAUCAAACACAAAACACCAGCCAAGA